GACGAACGCUGGCGGCGUGCUUAACACGUGCAAGUCGAACGGAAAGGCCCUGCUUUUGUGGGGUGCUCGAGUGGCGAACGGGUGAGUAACACGUGAGUAACCUGCCCUUGACUUUGGGAUAACUUCAGGAAACUGGGGCUAAUACCGGAUAGGAGCUCCUGCUGCAUGGUGGGGGUUGGAAAGUUUCGGCGGUUGGGGAUGGACUCGCGGCUUAUCAGCUUGUUGGUGGGGUAGUGGCUUACCAAGGCUUUGACGGGUAGCCGGCCUGAGAGGGUGACCGGCCACAUUGGGACUGAGAUGCGGCCCAGACUCCUACGGGAGGCAGCAGUGGGGAAUAGUGCACAAUGGGCGGAAGCCUGAUGCAGCAACGCCGCGUGCGGGAUGACGGCCUUCGGGUUGUAAACCGCUUUCGCCUGUGACGAAGCGUGAGUGACGGUAAUGGGUAAAGAAGCACCGGCUAACUACGUG
rnacentral:rRNA from 1 species